CUACGGGUUGCUGCAGUGGGGAAUCUUGGACAAUGGGCGCAAGCCUGAUCCAGCCAUGCCGCGUGAGUGAAGAAGGCCUUAGGGUCGUAAAGCUCUUUCGCCAGAGAUGAUAAUGACAGUAUCUGGUAAAGAAACCCCGGCUAACUCCGUGCCAGCAGCCGCGGUAAUACGGAGGGGGUUAGCGUUGUUCGGAAUUACUGGGCGUAAAGCGCGCGUAGGCGGAUUAGUCAGUCAGAGGUGAAAUCCCAGGGCUCAACCCUGGAACUGCCUUUGAUACUGCUAGUCUUGAGUUCGAGAGAGGUGAGUGGAAUUCCGGGUGUAGAGGUGAAAUUCGUAGAUAUUCGGAGGAACACCAGUGGCGAAGGCGGCUCACUGGCUCGAUACUGACGCUGAGGUGCGAAAGUGUGGGGAGCAAACAGGAUUAGAUACCCGGGUAGUC
rnacentral:rRNA from 1 species